GUACCAGACUCCUACGGGAGGCAGCAGUGAGGAAUAUUGGUCAAUGGCCGGGAGGCUGAACCAGCCAAGUCGCGUGAGGGAAGACGGCCCUACGGGUUGUAAACCUCUUUUGUCAGGGAGCAAGGUGCAGGUCGGGACCUGCUGUGAGAGUACCUGAAGAAAAAGCAUCGGCUAACUCCGUGCCAGCAGCCGCGGUAAUACGGAGGAUGCGAGCGUUAUCCGGAUUUACUGGGUGUAAAGGGAGCGUAGACGGCCAGACAAGUCUGAAGUGAAAAUCCAGCGCUUAACGUUGGAAGUGCUUUGGAAACUGCCGGGCUGGAGUGCAGGAGGGGCAGGCGGAAUUCCUAGUGUAGCGGUGAAAUGCGUAGAUAUUAGGAGGAACACCAGCGGCGAAGGCGGCCUGCUGGACUGCAACUGACGUUGAGGCUCGAAGGCGUGGGGAGCAAACAGGAUUAGAUACCCCGGUAACA
rnacentral:rRNA from 1 species